AUUGAACGCUGGCGGCAUGCCUUACACAUGCCAGUCGAACGGUAACAGGUUAAGCUGACGAGUGGCGAACGGGUGAGUAAUGUAUCGGAACGUGCCCAGUCGUGGGGGAUAACUGCUCGAAAGAGCAGCUAAUACCGCAUACGACCUGAGGGUGAAAGCGGGGGAUCGCAAGACCUCGCUCGAUUGGAGCGGCCGAUAUCAGAUUAGGUAGUUGGUGAGGUAAAGGCUCACCAAGCCGACGAUCUGUAGCUGGUCUGAGAGGACGACCAGCCACACUGGGACUGAGACACGGCCCAGACUCCUACGGGAGGCAGCAGUGGGGAAUUUUGGACAAUGGGCGCAAGCCUGAUCCAGCCAUGCCGCGUGCGGGAAGAAGGCCUUCGGGUUGUAAACCGCUUUUGUCAGGGAAGAAAAGGUUCUGGCUAAUACCUGGGACUCAUGACGGUACCUGAAGAAUAAGCACCGGCUAACUACGUG
rnacentral:rRNA from 1 species